GAUGAACGCUGGCGGCGUGCCUAAUACAUGCAAGUCGAGCGAACGGACGAGAAGCUUGCUUCUCUGAUGUUAGCGGCGGACGGGUGAGUAACACGUGGAUAACCUACCUAUAAGACUGGGAUAACUUCGGGAAACCGGAGCUAAUACCGGAUGAUAUUUUGAACCGCAUGGUUCAAAAGUGAAAGACGGUCUUGCUGUCACUUAUCGAUGGAUCCGCGCUGCAUUAGCUAGUUGGUAAGGUAACGGCUUACCAAGGCAACGAUGCAUAGCCGACCUGAGAGGGUGAUCGGCCACCCUGGAACUGAGACACGGUCCAGACUCCUACGGGAGGCAGCAGUAGGGAAUCUUCCGCAAUGGGCGAAAGCCUGACGGAGCAACGCCGCGUGAGUGAUGAAGGUCUUCGGAUCGUAAAACUCUGUUAUUAGGGAAGAACAUAUGUGUAAGUAACUGUGCACAUCUUGACGGUACCUAAUCAGAAAGCCACGGCUAACUACGUG
rnacentral:rRNA from 1 species